UACGAGAGGCCCAAACGUUAUUCGGAUUUACUGGGCUUAAAGAGUUCGUAGGCGGCGCAGAAAGUAGGGUGUGAAAGCCCUCGGCUCAACCGAGGAAUUGCGCCCUAAACUACUGUGCUUGAGGAACCUAGAGGUGAGCGGAACUGAUGGUGGAGCGGUGAAAUGCGUUGAUAUCAUCAGGAACACCGGAGGCGAAGGCGGCUCACUGGGGGUUAUCUGACGCUGAGGAGCGAAAGCCAGGGGAGCAAACGGG
rnacentral:rRNA from 1 species